UACAGAGGGGGCAAGCGUUAUUCGGAAUUAUUGGGCGUAAAGGGCGCGUAGGCGGUCUUUUAAGUCAGAUGUGCAAUCCCCGAGCUCAACUUGGGAACUGCAUCUGAGACUGGAAGACUCGAGUGCUGGAGAGGGUGGUAGAAUUCCACGUGUAGCGGUGAAAUGCGUAGAGAUGUGGAGGAAUACCAGUGGCGAAGGCGGCCACCUGGACAGUAACUGACGCUGAGGCGCGAAAGUGUGGGUAGCAAACAGG
rnacentral:rRNA from 1 species